rnacentral:snoRNA from 1 species
GACCUUUUGGUAUUUACCAUAGGCUGUGUUCUUUCAUUGACUAUAUGGAAAGUGGAGGCAAAGUAAACCUGCCCCAUGUACACCUCAGCCCAGGCCCUGUAUUUGGUCUGUAGUCUGAAUGGGGAGACAUGG